rnacentral:rRNA from 1 species
AGUGAACGCUGGCGGUAGGCCUAACACAUGCAAGUCGAACGGCAGCACAGGAGAGCUUGCUCUCCGGGUGGAGAGUGGCGGCCGGGUGAGGAAUGCAUCGGAAUCUACUCUUUCGUGAGGGAUAACGUAGGGAAACUUACGCUAAUACCGCAUACGACCUACGGGUGAAAGCCGGGGACCUUCGGGCCUGCCGCUACUGAAUGAGCCGAUGCCCGAUUAGCUAGUUGGCGGGGUAAGAGCCCACCAAGGCGACGAUCGGUAGCUGGUCUGAGAGGAUGAUCAGCCACACUGGAACUGAGACACGGUCCAGACUCCUACGGGAGGCAGCAGUGGGGAAUAUUGGACAAUGGGCGCAAGCCUGAUCCAGCCAUACCGCGUGGGUGAAGAAGGCCUUCGGGUUGUAAAGCCCUUUUGUUGGGAAAGAAAAGCAAUCGGUUAAUACCCGGUUGUUCUGACGGUACCCAAAGAAUAAGCACCGGCUAACUUCGUGCCAGCCGCCGCAGUAAAAC